rnacentral:rRNA from 1 species
GACGAACGCUGGCGGCGUGCUUAACACAUGCAAGUCGAACGAUGAAGCCGGAGCUUGCUCUGGUGAAUUAGUGGCGAACGGGUGAGUAACACGUGAGUAACCUGCCCUUGACUCUGGGAUAACUGCUAGAAAUGGUAGCUAAUACCGGAUACGACCCUCGGCGGCAUCGCCAGGGGGUGGAAAGAAUUUCGGUCAAGGAUGGACUCGCGGCCUAUCAGCUAGUUGGUGAGGUAACGGCUAACCAAGGCGACGACGGGUAGCAGGCCUGAGAGGGUGACCGGCCACACUGGGACUGAGACACGGCGCAGACUCCGACGGGAGGAAGCAGUGGGGAAUAUUGCACAAUGGGCGCAAGCCUGAUGCGGAAACGCCGCGUGAGGGAUGACGGCCUUCGGGUUGUAAACCUCUUUUAGUAGGGAAGAAGCGAAAGUGACGGUACCUGCAGAAAAAGCACCGGCUAACUACGUGCCAGCCGCCGCAGUAA